rnacentral:rRNA from 1 species
CCAUACCGCGUGGGUGAAGAAGGCCUUCGGGUUGUAAAGCCCUUUUGUUGGGAAAGAAAUCCUAUCGAUUAAUACUCGGUGGGGAUGACGGUACCCAAAGAAUAAGCACCGGCUAACUUCGUGCCAGCAGCCGCGGUAAUACGAAGGGUGCAAGCGUUACUCGGAAUUACUGGGCGUAAAGCGUGCGUAGGUGGUGGUUUAAGUCUGUCGUGAAAGCCCUGGGCUCAACCUGGGAAUUGCGAUGGAUACUGGAUCACUAGAGUGUGGUAGAGGGAUGCGGAAUUUCCGGUGUAGCAGUGAAAUGCGUAGAGAUCGGAAGGAACAUCUGUGGCGAAGGCGGCAUCCUGGGCCAACACUGACACUGAGGCACGAAAGCGUGGGGAGCAAACAGGAUUAGAUACCCUGGUAGUCCACACCCUAAACGAUGCGAACUGGAUGUUGGGUGCAACUUGGCACCCAGUAUCGAAGCUAACGCGUUAAGUUCGCCGCCUGGGGAGUACGGUCGCAAGACUG